rnacentral:misc_RNA from 1 species
GAUGAAGAACGUAGCGAACUGCGAUAAGUAAUGUGAAUUGCAGAAUUCAGUGAAUCAUCGAGUCUUUGAACGCACAUUGCGCCCCCUGGCAUUCCGGGGGGCAUGCCUGUCCGAGCGUCAUUGCUGCCCUUCAAGCCCGGCUUGUGUGUUGGGUCGUCGUCCCCCCCGGGGGACGGGCCCGAAAGGCAGCGGCGGCACCGCGUCCGGUCCUCGAGCGUAUGGGGCUUUGUCACCCGCUCGAUUAGGGCCGGCCGGGCGCCAGCCGGCGUCUCCAACCUUCUAUUUUACCAGGUUGACCUCGGAUCAGGUAGGGAUACCCGCUGAACUUAAGUAUAUCAAUAAGCGGAGGA